rnacentral:lncRNA from 1 species
CCCCCCCCCCCACGUCCAACCCCGUCCCAUUGCUGUCAGGGUUUACAUUCUGCAUCCACCUCUGUGCCAUAUUCAGCCCAGCUCUGCUGGCUGGGGGCAGGAUUUAGGGCUGGGGUUGGGUUUUGGGGUCAGGGGUUGGGGUCUUCAGGGUUGGGGUUCUGGGGUUAUGGUUGGGUUUUGGGGUCAUGAUUUAAGGCUGGGGUCAGGUUUGGGGUUGGGUUUAAGGCCAGGGUUGGGUUUUGGAGGUAGAAUUUAAGACCAGGGCUGGGUUUAGGUUUAGGGUUGAGUUUUAGGGACAGCAUAUAAAGCCAGGGUUGGGUUUUUGGGUCAGUACUGGCUUGUAAGGUCUGAUAUUAAGGCCAGGCUCAGGUCUUAGGGCCCAAAUUUAAGGCCAGGGUGGUAUUUUAGGGUCAGAUAAAGCCAGGCUCCGGUUUUAGGAUCACACAUAUGUUUGAAGGCUGAGGUCACGUUUCAGGGCCAGAACUUGAGGCCAAGGUCAAGUUGGACCUACAGUCCUUAGAGCACAGCCCCGUGUUGAGCCCGUGGGCCCCUUUUCACCCCACAGGGAGGAUGGCGAGCUGGAGGAGGGCGAGCUGGAGGACGAUGGUGCUGAGGAGACCCCGGAGCCGCGGCCCACGCGGAGCCGUCGGGAGAAGGGCGAACGGCACGGCAGCGACUCGGAUGGAGAGCGGUCGCACCGGCGCGGCAAGCGCAAGCGGCGCAAGGAGCGUGAGAAGGAGAAGAGGAGAGCCAAGAAGAAGAGGAAAUCCAAGCACAAGGUGAGCGGGGCCUUGGAAGUGCCCUUCGUGGGUCCCUACGUCUUCGAAAAUGCCCUUUGUGGGUCCCCGUGUCCUCAAAAAUGCCCUUUGUGGGUUCCUGUGUCUUCCAGUAUGGCAUUCAUGGGUCCCUGUAUCUUCAGAAAUGCCCUUUGUGGGUUCCUGUGUCUUCAGAAAUGGCAUUCAUGGGUCCCUACGUCUUCAGAAAUGCCUUUGUAGGUCUCCAAGUCCUCAAAAAUGCCCUUCAUGGGUUUCUUUGCGUUCAGAAAUGCCCUUUGUGGGUCCUUGUCUCCUACAAAAUACAGUUCAUGGGUCCUCAUGUCUUCAAAAAUUACACUCGUAGGUCACUGUGUCCUCAAAAAUGCCCUUUAUGGGUCUAUAUGUCCUCAAAAAUGCCCAUUAUGGGUCUCUACGUCUUCAAAAUUGCCAUUCGUGGGUCCCUUGGUCCUCAAAAUGCCAUAAAAAGGGGAGUGGGGGGUUCAGAUUCUGCACGAAGUUGCCUCAUU